rnacentral:rRNA from 1 species
UGGGGAAUAUUGGACAAUGGGCGCAAGCCUGAUCCAGCCAUGCCGCGUGAGUGAUGAAGGCCCUAGGGUUGUAAAGCUCUUUCACCGGUGAAGAUAAUGACGGUAACCGGAGAAGAAGCCCCGGCUAACUUCGUGCCAGCAGCCGCGGUAAUACGAAGGGGGCUAGCGUUGUUCGGAUUUACUGGGCGUAAAGCGCACGUAGGCGGACUAUUAAGUCAGGGGUGAAAUCCCGGGGCUCAACCCCGGAACUGCCUUUGAUACUGGUAGUCUUGAGUUCGAGGGGGGGGAGUGGAAUUCCGGGUGUAGAGGUGAAAUUCGUAGAUAUUCGGAGGAACACCAGUGGCGAAGGCGGCUCACUGGCUCGAUACUGACGCUGAGGUGCGAAAGCGUGGGGAGCAAACAGG